GACGAGCGCUGGCGGCGUGCUUAACACAUGCAAGUCGAACGGAAAGGCCCUGCUUUUGUGGGGUGCUCGAGUGGCGAACGGGUGAGUAACACGUGAGUAACCUGCCCUUGACUUUGGGAUAACUUCAGGAAACUGGGGCUAAUACCGGAUAGGAGCUCCUGCUGCAUGGUGGGGGUUGGAAAGUUUCGGCGGUUGGGGGUGGACUCGCGGCUUAUCAGCUUGUUGGUGGGGUAGUGGCUUACCAAGGCUUUGACGGGUAGCCGGCCUGAGAGGGUGACCGGCCACAUUGGGACUGAGAUACGGCCCAGACUCCUACGGGAGGCAGCAGUGGGGAAUAUUGCACAAUGGGCGGAAGCCUGAUGCAGCAAUGCCGCGUGCGGGAUGACGGCCUUCGGGUUGUAAACCGCUUUCGCCUGUGACGAAGCGUGAGUGACGGUAAUGGGUAAAGAAGCACCGGCUAACUACGUG
rnacentral:rRNA from 1 species